rfam:Triticum aestivum genome assembly, contig: Triticum_aestivum_CS42_TGACv1_scaffold_562155_7AL
CUUGUACUCCCUCCGUCCGAAAAUACUUGUCAUUGAAAUGGAUGUAUAUAGAUGUAUUUUAGUUCUAGACACAUCCAUUUUGAUGACAAGUAAUUCCGGACGGAGGGAGUACUUG